UUUUUAAUUUUUGAACUUGAAAAUGCAAUAUACUUUAAUCCAGAGAUUUAAAAAGUGAACAUACGUUUUAACCCAGUGGGUGCUGUAAACAGUACGUUGGCGGUUCACACCAGUUCAAAAAUUACCAAGGCAUCCAGUCUCCCAGCAAGUGCCAAGAGGCAUUCAUUCAAUGCUCCGCUGACAACAAUUUGCCCAAAGUGAGCUGAGGGUCGGUGAAGCGCACAAGUGGGUCAGCAUUCUCAUACCAGAAUCGGUCACAGCGGCGGAGGUUCCUAAACUGAAUGCCGAGGAUGCAGCCGAACGUGGGACCGACCAGUCCACCGUGCAGCGGCGUCUCAAUCAAUCCACCAGUGAACAGAUCUAUGUCAUCCACGUGUGCGUACGUCCGUUUCAUUCGCUCGAUCACCGGCCUCGCUAUCUCCCUGUGCAGGUCAUCAAACGACCUUGCCCUGGUCAGGUUACAGAGGGCCCUGUACUCAUUGUAAGGCUGCAGUCCGUGGUCUCUGCCUCGCUGGAUGUUGAGGGCAGCCAGGUCCAGGCCAGAGAAUGGCUGCCGCUUGUCUUCAAAGAGAUGGUUGGUCACCUCAUCUGUCAAGAACUGGUCCAGUGUCUCCAUGGACACAGUAGUCAGGCCGCGGAUGAUCUCAUCAAGCAUCCCAGGCUGGUAGAGUAGGUCUGGGUUGAAGAAGUGUUCGCUCAGCUUGACAGGAGGGUCACGCUUGGCAAAUAUUCCAUCCAUGCGCUCCAGGGAAGGCUUGAGUAGAGAGUGGCCAAAGC